GUGUGUGUGUGUGUGUGUGUGUGUGUGUGUGUGUACAUGCACAUGCACCCAGAGGCUCACCAUGUCUGCACAUCCAUAAGAUCCGGGGAAGACCGUGAUCUCAACUUGCCAAAUCAGCACAUUUUAUUAAAUGAUAAAGUGGGUCAUUUGGUGAAUCUAUUCUCAGCUCAAAUCCACUUUCAGCCAGCACAGAGUCACACUCAGACUCACCGCUCCAACGUGGUGAGGCUGCCCCAACAGAUACAUCCAAAGACGCCUUGAUACCUGACAAUGACGUCAGCAGCCUCAACAGUCACUGGGUAUUUACUGCACCCGGCAUUCUGACGAGUGCUUUAUAUUCAAAAUCAUGUUUACUUUUCACAAGAAUUCUAAAAGGAAGGUACUAUUGCAAGGCCCGUUUUAUAGCCAAGAACACUGGCCCCUCAGAAGAUUAAGGUCAUACAGCUGUAAAUCAGUGGAGCUGGUCUACGAACUCAGCCAGAUGGACACUCAAACCAGACUCACUGUCUCCAUUCCCGGCCAAACCUGACCAUAGAUGGAUGUCACUCUGGACUUUGCUCUGUAGCCCUCGGAACCCCAUCCGUCUUUUUAAAGUACGCACAGGUUGUUGUUUGUGACGCAUGGACUUGAGAACAGAUGGCUCCCAGAAAUUCUUCAGGUGCCAUGAGAUCUGCCACCUUGAAAUGUCAGAGCUGCAAAAUUCAAACCCAGGGGCCUGGGUGCCAGGGAGACAGCUGGCACCCUUUUCACCCCAACGGAUGAGGUCAUAGAUGUAAUGUGAAACCUCUGAACCUGAGAAUGACAGUCGCCAUUGAUUGAGCACCUUCUAUAUUUCAGGCCCUGAAGUGCAGGCUUAUGGAAGGGCUCCAGAUGCCACGUGACACAGACACCGUCUUAGCCCACUUCACAGGUGAGUUCACAGACUCUCAGGGAGAUAAAACAACUUGAGUCCACGGUUAAUGAUCUGAAAAGUCAGCAUCUGAUUCCCUCUCUGGCUACAAUGAGUGAAUUCUAUUCAAUGAUCACUGUAGCAUAUACUAAAAUUUUUCAUAAAUGUAAUGAAAGAAUUAUGUCCCACUAUAAGAAUCAACAAAUAGAUCAAGGAAGUGAAAUAAUUUUGAAAUACAUUUCCCUGUGUGUGUGUUAAGUUAAAGCACAAUAAAAGGUGCAUCAAAAUCAGUGGAGAAAGGAAGAGUUUUUUGACAAAUGCUAUUAUAAUUGAUUAUUUAUGAAAAUUCAUCAGCUUUUCAUAUCAAAUGACAAAAUAAAUUCAUUUAGAAUUUAUUUAGAAAAUAAAUUCUAAAUGGAUUGAAUAUUUAAAAGUCAGAUUCAAAAUCAUAAAAAUGAAAGUAUAGAUGAAGCAUUAACUGGAGAGAAUGGAGACAUACUUCUAAAAGUAAAAGCAAAGAAAGAAUAUUUAACCUUGAGUACAACACAAAUAUUUUACAUAUAAAAAUAUAAAUAUACUUAAAAGGCAAGAGAGAAACAUGGAAAAUUUUUUGCUACAAAUAUGACACAGGGUUAAAACACAAUAUAUAAAGAGCUAUGAGAAAUCAACAAGGAAAGCAACAAUCACAUAAAAUGGAAAAAAGUGAGGAAAGGAAGGAAAAGAACAAAGAAUUCAUAGAAGGAGGAAUAAAAAUGGCUAUAAAUAAAACAAGAAAAAAUAUUAAGAGUAAACAGAAAAUAUUAUAUGUAAAAAUACUACACCAUAUAUCAUAUGUAAUAUAAAGAUAUUAAAACAUCAAGAUAUUAUAUAUCACUAUCAAUUAAAGUUCUACAAAAUGAUCUAAUAAGGUAGUUACAGUGAAACCAGCUGUGUCUUUCAGCGUUUGUUAUAGUAUAAACUAGUUCCAUCUUUCUAGAAAGUAAUUAUUUUGAGUAUUACAUUUUAAAAUCACGGUUUAACAAAUACCUCCACUGGCUAGCAUUUAUAGUAAAGAAAUAAUCAGAGGUUCCAACAAAGAUUCACAUAUAAAUAUGUUCAAUGCAGUGUUAUCUGCAAUAGGAAAUAAAUGGAGGCAACAUAAAUAUUCGAUAAUAAUUUGAUGAUUAAAUUGUUUUGUUCAAAAAGUAAAAUAUUCAUCAGACUUGCAAAAAAUGAUUUUUGGACAAAGUCAAUUUUACAGAGCCUAUCACUAAGUAGAAAAAUACUUCCAGGUGUGCAUACAGGAUACAAACACUCAAAAAUCGUCUGCAACAGCAAACAUUCUCCAAAGUAAUAAUAGUAAUUUUUCUCUGAUGGGAUUAUUAGCAAUUUUUGCUUUUUCUUUUUCUUUUUUUUGGCUUUUUUCCUAAGUAUUAGACUAUAUUAUUUCUGUAAUUAAAAAAAAAAAAGUUUAAGUACACACGACCAGAUCAAUCUCUCCCGGGGGCCACUACUGGGAGAGGCUCCCAUUGUAAAGCUAUUGUUGCUACAGGUUAGGAAUUGAGACUGAAGCCCUAGGGCCACUGCCAAAAGGACCCUGAUGGCCACUAGGCAGGUGGAGCACUAGAGGUUGUCCAGGAAUGUCGGGGGUGGGGGAUUAUCAGACAGCACAGAAUACAGCAUCUCCACAUCACCCCCAGAGAGGGCAUCUCCAGAGAGGACUAGCUUACCAUUCAGGCAGCAGUACUACUUCCCCAGCCCUGAGCUCUGGCCUUCCUGGUUACAGGCAGAAUCACAAGAACCAAACAAUCCAGAUAACAAUCUACCAACCACUCAACCUCGGAGUAAAAUCAGUUGCUCUGAGCCCAAAGGUGUGCACAUGCCAAAGGACUGCUGGCUGCCUAACAAGAAAACUGGCUGGGGGGCUGGGUCAGCACCUUGUGGGGUCCCUUCUGCCAUCACCCCGACCAUCUUCAACAGCUGCCCAGUGCCCAUGGUGAGCUCCCUGGCAGCUGCUGUGGAAAAAUGGACACCUUGCUGGGUGUCUGCUUUCCUGGCACCACAGAGACAGGAGCAUGACCUGGUGAGGUCCCAACCAGGUGAUUGUUGUUGAUGGACUUUUUCACAGCCCAGACUGGAAAGAAACAACUGUGCAUCUAACUAUGAGCCCUGGACCCCAGGGUUCACUGCAGCACUAUUCACAACAGCCAAGACACGGAAGCAACCUAAAUGUCCAUCUACAGAAGGACGGAUAAAGAAGAUGUGGCACGUAUAUAAAAAGGACUAUUAGCCAUCAAAAGAAUGAGAUAAUGCCAUGUGCAGCAACACAGAUGGACCUAGAGAUUAUCACACGAAGCGAGGUCAAAAAGAGCAAGGCAAACACCAUGUGAUAUCACUUAUAUGCGGAACCUAAAAUACGACCCAAAUGAACAUACCUACGAAACAGAAACAUAGGCACAGAAAACAGACUUGUGAUUGCCAGGGGUGGGGGUGGGUAGGGAUGGAUGGAGAGUUUGGGAUUAGCAGAUACAAACUAUUAAGUAUUGGAUGGAUUAAGAAACCAGGUCCUACUGCACAGCACAGGGAACCAGAUUCAAUAUCCUGCGACAAAUCAUAAUGGAAAAGAAUGUAUAUACACACAUAAAACUGAAUCACUUUGCUGUACACCAGAAAUUAACACAACAUUGCAAAUCAACGAUACUUCAAUAAAAUAAGAUGCACAUGACUAGGGGCAUCAAAACCAAUCAUUUUCUGUUGCACGUAGGCAAGAGCGGCUCUCUUAGGACAGUUGGGAGAAGUCAAGAUGUUGGUCCAUGGGAGAAUUGAGCAUAAUCAAGGUUGGCUGCUACUACUAGUAGUACUACUACAAUUGCUAGUACCAUUACCACCACUACUACUUUAGUACUGCAAGUAUCAACUACCGGUGUUAUUACUGCACUGCUACCACUCCUGUUGGUGUAGUACCACACCACCACUAAUACUAUCAUGAUUGCUGCUGCUACUGUGACUGCUACUAUUACUGCUAUCACUACUGCACUGGCUGUUACUACCACCACUGUUGUUACUGCUGUGACUGCUACUACUGUGACUCCAAAAAGCCCACAUGCACUGACUGCUACCACACAUUCCCGAACUGGGGGCAAUAAUCCUGAUUCGAAUUACUCUGCCUCACCUCCAAAAGCUCUCUCCCAACUGGCAGACGAUGCACACUAGGUGCAGAAAACACCUGCACCCAUGGUUCAAGUCCUUGUGGAGUGAAGCAAUAAUGCCAAGAGCUGGGAGAAGGCCUUGCUGGGCCCUGGCAGGGACUCUAGGUCCAUUGCUACCUCAGCGCCACCCCAACACUGUCACACAAGAACGACUCUCUUUUUCAGGAAGAGGAAACCCAGGCUUCACUGAUAAUACGACAAGCUCACGUUUACACUGCAGGUGAACGACAGGCCUGAAUUCAAACAAAGCACUACCAGUGCUCCUGGCAUCCCUAAGCUACUAGGAUUUUAUAUAAUGAGAAAAGAGCUUCAGGGCUGGCCCGGGCCAGCAUCCUGGUGGCAUGUGAUAGGCUGGCUCCUCCCAGUUCUCCUGACUCCAGGCAUUGCUGCCUUUCGGUGACCACGCAUGACAGUUCACACAGCCAGUGGCCGGUCAGUGGUGGGCACUGGGCUCCCAGAAGGAUGCCAGUCCAGGAACACCCAAUGGGCCCUCAGUGCUCUGGGGAGGUGCUGCGAUGCUGGUGGCCAGGAAGGCAAACAGGAAGGUAGUCAUUUAUUCUGUAAUCCGAAUCAGCAUAAACACACCAUAAAGUCCAAGUGUGUAAUGAAUUACAUCUCAGAUUCACUGAGAAAAGAAGCUUAAGAUAUAACGAGGUAAGAACAGCUUGUAUGUGUUACGGGGGGGGCGGGGUGAGCAGAUGUAGGUUGGCUGAUCUUCAGUCUCUGGAUUUAUAGAUGCGUUAUAAAACACUUCCACAGGAAAACCUUCUACGAUGAUAUCUCCAGUGGCCAAUAAUUAGACUGUGGGCUACAUGGACGGCCUUGAAGAUGGAGCAUCUUGUAUCAACCUGGUGAACAUUUUCUUUUACCGGACUCGCGGAGUUCUGUUCCUUUUGUCUCUUUGGCGCUUCUCUGCAGACUUCCCAAGGAGCCACUGGCUUAGUACCCUGCCCACCAGACUCAUGGACUCAUGACAAGAGAGCGCAGCAGGAUCCUGGGAUGCUGGGUGCCCGAGGGAGGGUGACCCACACCCCGGAAGUUAGGCAGCAGCAUGGCACAGCUGUGCCUGAGAGCCCAGAGCCUUAUGCCUGCUUCCUGCUGGCGGCCCUUAACCUCCUCUGGCUAAGAAGGAUGUCCACUCACUAGUGACCAGCCAGUGUGCACCUCUGGGAGGGUGGGAUGUGGGGACUGGAUUCGCCCACAUCAGCAAAUCUUCUCCAGAAAAGAAAGAGCCUCUGUUCCCUCCCCACCCGGAGA